GGGCCCGCACAAGCGGUGGAGCAUGUGGUUUAAUUCGAAGAUACGCGCAGAACCUUACCAACACUUGACAUGUUCGUCGCGACUUUAAGAGAUUAAAGUUUUCGGUUCGGCCGGACGAAACACAGGUGCUGCAUGGCUGUCGUCAGCUCGUGUCGUGAGAUGUUGGGUUAAGUCCCGCAACGAGCGCAACCCUCACUUUUAGUUGCCAUCAUUAAGUUGGGCACUCUGAAAGAACUGCCAGUGAUAAGCUGGAGGAAGGUGGGGAUGACGUCAAGUCCUCAUGGCCCUUACGUGUUGGGCUACACACGUGCUACAAUGGUACUUACAACAGGAAGCAAAACGGCGACGUUAAGCAAAUCCCUAAAAAGUACCUCAGUUCGGAUUGCACUCUGCAACUCGAGUGCAUGAAGCUGGAAUUACUAGUAAUCG
rnacentral:rRNA from 1 species